rnacentral:lncRNA from 1 species
GUAGGGGGUGUGGGCAUCUCCCUUGCAAGCAGGAGGGGAGAGGCAGGGGACGGCUCUGUGUGAGUCUCCGUGUGGCACUCCUUACUUGCUGGGGCUCUUCCCCGCGUCUCCUUCUGUUGUACGUGACAUCCUGACGGGAACACGCAGAACAACAGCUGCUGCUUCAGUGGGAUGGCCGCCUCUCCACCGCGCUCAUGGCGGUACCUGCCAGCACUGAUGACACGCCAGCCUUGGCGGUGACAUUGAUGCUUUCCCUGCGAGAGCAGGGACAGGAGCGCGGGAACAUGGAGCUGGCUUCCCUUUUUCAAGAAAUGACAGGGCUGCUGCAUUUCAUAUCAGAUGAAUUUUAGUUUAGUCUUUAAGUGCUGGAGAGGAGAAACGCAGUUCUGUGAGAAGCUUUCGUGGGGAGCCACGAAGCCAUCAACAGGAGGCUGCUUUCCCACUAGACCUCCAACUAAGGUGGAGCAAGAGAACAACAGAACAGAAAAGCAGAGAAAGAAGAAUGGAAAGCAGGGGAAAUGAGAAAGAGAAAGAACUGAGAGCAGGGUGCUGCGGGUUGUUGAUUAAGAGGGACACUUGCAUCAAGGGUCAGAUGGAUCACAACGUCUGUUGACUUUAAAGACAUAUCCUGCAUCACCCUAUCCUGGGAUGAGAGGGAAGGAUAUAUUGUCCAACUACGAGACCUUUCUCCCAAUUCCACGCGUCCCUUGAGGCACCCACUAACCACAGCAUUUUGUUCAUUCAACCUGCUGUAAUGUGAUUUUCCUCUAUACUUUGGCUUAAUUGGUAGAGUGUAAGGAACAAGGCAAAUAUUUGCACAGUUCGAAUGUUGCUCUUGUGAUUAGAAGGUAACAUCUUUCAGUGUCUGUGUCUGAAUUCUGACACAGGCAGGGGAGUCAAUUUACUUUGGGAUCAAUAGAUGUGGUCUCAAUUGACAGAGAACUUGAGGCUUCCUUUGGAAAAGAGGAGGCUGCAGGACAGCUCUCAACGCCUGGCUCAAUGUAACAUGGCAACUGGGCAGUGGUUUUGUUUCCAGAUUGAUUGAUUUUUAGC